rnacentral:rRNA from 1 species
GAUGAACGCUGGCGGCGUGCCUAAUACAUGCAAGUCGAGCGAGACUCUUCGGAGUCUAGCGGCGGACGGGUGAGUAACACGUGGGCAACCUGCCUGUAAGACUGGGAUAACACCGGGAAACCGGUGCUAAUACCGGAUAAUCCUUUUCCUCUCAUGAGGAAAAGCUGAAAGUCGGUUUCGGCUGACACUUACAGAUGGGCCCGCGGCGCAUUAGCUAGUUGGUGAGGUAACGGCUCACCAAGGCGACGAUGCGUAGCCGACCUGAGAGGGUGAUCGGCCACACGGGGACUGAGACAAGGCACAGACUCCUACGGGAGGAAGCAGUAGGGAAUCUUCAACAAUGGACGAGAGUCUGAUGGAGCAACGCCGCGUGAGCGAUGAAGGCCUUCGGGUCGUAAAGCUCUGUUGUUAGGGAAGAACAAGUACCGGAGUAACUGCCGGUACCUUGACGGUACCUAACCAGAAAGCCACGGCUAACUACGUGCCAGCCGCCGCCGUAACAC